CUCAUCUCUCUCUCAUCUCUCAACCGAUUUGGGUGAUCCAAAAGGCUAAGUUGUGAGAUUUUUCGAGGGCAACGUGUUGGUGAGCUCGGAUAGUGAUUUGGAGUCCCCGUUUGAGCGGGGAAGCGUUUCGAGACCAUUCGGAAAGGAAAAUCUCCGGAGAAGUGAUUUUGGAGCGCGUGUGAUCGGCUUUAAGGUCCGGGCACUAGUAGCCAGCGUUGAUCGAGCUUGGAGCAGACUGAUCCGGAGACGGGAGUGAGCACACGACGUUUUGUACUAUUUCAGUCUCCAUCUGUAUAUAUAUAGACUUGUCUUUUACCUUCCGAGACAGUCCAGUCUCUGUUGUCCACUUUUGGGACUUGUACUCAUUUCGUUAGUAGCUCUGUACUAGUGACUUCCAGGUUCUGGGAGGGAUCUUUAUUUGUAUAUAUGUUUUUGGUUUGCUUCCGCCUGUUAUAUUGUUAUUUGCCUACUCUUGUUUAGUUUCUAUCCUCAGACCCAUUACUUGUUGUUCCGGGUUACGGGUUGGCUUACCUACUGGUGGGUUAUAGUAGGUGCC